CUCCAAAAAUUAUUAUUAUUGUUUAAUGGUCGCCAUCGAGAUGGUCACGUGACCCUUUGGACUGCGUAAUUUCUCCAAUUACAACCAGCAUGGCGUUUUUAUUUUUAUGAAAGCCAAUGUUCAAGGUGUGAACACCAUAACUGCGCAUUACAAUUUUGACUUUAUUUUAACUUGGCUUUUAACGCGUUAUUUAGUCUCUAAUUAGAUCAUUCAGUCGGUCACGUGACCAGUAUGGUGGACCCCCCGCGAGUGGACUGUUGGCGAUGUCGCGUCAGAAAUUAAUUAUUCGUCUUAUCGGCUUUUUACGGGUGAUCGUGAGUCCAUAAAAUUAAUUUAUUAAACCAGUGAAACUCAUUUGGAUUCGAGUGAUUCAGUUCUACGAACUCAAAUCGAUAAAUUCCUGUCCUCGAACAAUGAAUAUCAUACGCGGGAAGGUAAACACUGGCGCGACGACACUGGAGUCUUCGGGAACAAAACAAAGGAAGGAACGGGAGUAGUGUCUAAAUGUAUGGCAAUUUCCUGAGGUCAAUCUUCACGGAAAUUGAUUUCGAGAAAAUGAGUCUUACCGUGGGGUAAAAAUUAAGAACAGGAAAUCCAUUUUUAUAAUAAUACUGGGUGCCUGCUUUGAGUGGACAUCCAGGUUUUCCAUCGGCAUCGAAAAUAUUUGGGCAUGCGUCAGUGCCAUCGACUCCAACGAAUGGCAGAGGUACUCCCAAUAGUGUUGCAUGGACAGAUGUGGUAAGUUUUUCAACAUUUUUCUCGGGAACAAAUUGUUGAACCAGUUCCAC